AGUGAACGCUGGCGGUAGGCCCAACACAUGCAAGUCGAACGGCAGCACAGUAAGAGCUUGCUCUUACGGGUGGCGAGUGGCGGACGGGUGAGGAAUACAUCGGAAUCUACUAUUUCGUGGGGGAUAACGUAGGGAAACUUACGCUAAUACCGCAUACGACCUACGGGUGAAAGCAGGGGAUCUUCGGACCUUGCGCGAUUGAAUGAGCCGAUGUCGGAUUAGCUAGUUGGCGGGGUAAAGGCCCACCAAGGCGACGAUCCGUAGCUGGUCUGAGAGGAUGAUCAGCCACACUGGAACUGAGACACGGUCCAGACUCCUACGGGAGGCAGCAGUGGGGAAUAUUGGACAAUGGGCGCAAGCCUGAUCCAGCCAUACCGCGUGGGUGAAGAAGGCCUUCGGGUUGUAAAGCCCUUUUGUUGGGAAAGAAAAGCAGCAGGUUAAUACCCCGCUGUUCUGACGGUACCCAAAGAAUAAGCACCGGCUAACUUCGUG
rnacentral:rRNA from 1 species